ACUCGGGCACGAUCCUUUCACACUUCCUUCCACGCCGGAGAAGUGUUGCGGAAGGAACCGACCCGUAGUUCAACCCUGAGGGA
ncrna:Corynebacterium minutissimum L31-Corynebacteriaceae ribosomal protein leader